GCUCCAGUGGUGCAAUUGGUCAGCACAUGGUACUUAUAAGACAGUACAGUGUAAAGCAAUGCCAGGGUUGUGAGUUCAAGUCUCACCUGGAGCA
rfam:Oryzias latipes DNA, chromosome15, strain: Hd-rR.